AGUAAUACAUCGGAACGUGUCUUCUAGUGGGGGAUAACUGCCCGAAAGGGCAGCUAAUACCGCAUGAGACCUGAGGGUGAAAGCGGGGGAUCGCAAGACCUCGCGCUGGAAGAGCGGCCGAUGUCCGAUUAGCUAGUUGGUGAGGUAAAGGCUCACCAAGGCGACGAUCGGUAGCUGGUCUGAGAGGACGACCAGCCACACUGGGGCUGAGACACGGCCCAG
rnacentral:rRNA from 1 species